AUGCCCCUGGACACUGACGAGGACCACUCCUAUAACAAGAGGCCUUACAGCUUCCUUCCUAAAGAGUCGGAAAGUCAUGUUACCAUGGACAAAGAAGACGGAAGCCUGGAUGGCGAAAACGCAUCUUUCAAGAUGCUUGAGGAAAGGGCUCAACAAGCUCAGCACCAUCGAAGACUGACCAGUG